CUUCCUGGGAAUGUGUGCAGAACCUAAGGCCCUUGGGGGGAGGGGCAUUCGGUUAGAGCUUGGGUAAAAGUGGGGGAGUUGAAAUCCUGCGUGCCAGGGCAGGGAGGGAGGGCUUGGCCUGACGAUUUGGCCUUGACGUGCUUGCUCUCCCAUCCUUGAUACUGACUGCUGAAGUGCGCCCCUGGGAGGGGCGGGGGGGGGGGUGCCACCGGCCCUGCCCCUGGAGGUCAGCCUGGCCUUGAAUGCUGCCCUGACUCCGUGGGGCCUCCUGUCCACUGAGACCGUGGCUCCCCAGGCCUGUGGCAUUUUCCCACGGCAGGUCUCUUGAGCCGCCGCUCCCAGGCUUCCCCUCCCUGACCCUUGUGAGCAGGGGCCCUUCAUCCUGCAGCUUUCCUUCCUUUUAACUGGUUCAAGAAAUGAGACGAUGAGGCCCUAAUUUUUUUUCCUAUUAUGUCUUAGAUGUGCGAGAUUUGCCCCUCGUGUUGGAGGGGCUGCAGCUCGGCUGACAUGACCCUUCUUGUAGCUGCUUGCUUGGCCGCUGGCACAUUGUGGCCAGCAGGUGGCAGCAGUGGUUACGGAGAAGUGUGUGAGGGAGGGCCAUCCCCCAGUCCUCAGCAUUCUAAACCCAGGGGUGGUAGCUCUUCCAGCACAUUCCUGAGGAGCCCCCGGGCUCAGUCAGGUCAUCGACGGAAGUCGAGGCCGGCCACGAAUCAGGAGCGUGUGUGGCUUUUGGCCUCGUGAGGUCCCCCUUCUCCCCAGGAUGGCGGAGGGGGACGGUGGGGCCGAGCAGUUCUUGUUGCAGCCUCUCUCCUUAGGGUGGGAAGAUGGCAAAAGCCCACCUGAAAUCACUGUUGCUGAUGUGGCCACUGCCGAGGUUCCCGUAUCAUGAGGGAGGCUUUCCGUAGAAAAGAUGAUGGGCUAGGACUGCACUUGUAAUGACUCCUUUUAAAGAUCUGUAACGCGGAAUGAUUCUAUGAAGCUAUCUAUGCAUCUUAGACCUUUCGAGCUGUGAUUUCGCACUGUUUGUUUUCCUUUCACCUUUUCUUAUCCUUUCAUAACUUGCCUGUUCAAGGUACCCAGCGUGACCACCAAGCAUUACCUAAAGAACAGGUCCCGACUGCUGUUUCAAACUGUAACUCCAUUUCGUGGCUCACAUGCUGAAGUAUCUCACUCAGUGAUCUUCCAAUCCCAUCUAACAUCUUGGAGAGCGGGGGUAGAGCAGCUAUUUUUGAAGCCCCCUUCCCUAAUAUGCCAGGCCUUAGGAGGUUUUCUAUUGCAUCUGUCCAUGUUGUUUCCACAGGAAGACAUAGUGGAAGGUAGCUUUGACCGUAGGAUGUGUGGUGCUUUGUAGGUUGUGGCUGAUGGUUUCCAGAAAGUGAAAGAAUGUUUUUUGUGAAUUCAGUACUGUCUGCUGCGAAAACAAGGCUGCAAAUAAUGUUUGAAUCAAGAUGGCCAAGCCAAGUACAAAAGGAGAUUCUUCUUCAUCUCCCCCUUCAGAUUCUUUCAUUAGAACGAUCUUUUCAGAACACUUUGGUUUGAACAGAAUUGUUCCGUUUUCAUUCUUUUUCAUUUUAUUUGUUUCCCCUUUAUUUAUAGAAAGCCCUAAAUAGUUAAAGGCAUGGUAAAUAAUAAUCUAAUAUGUUCGUAUGCCGUGUUCCCCAAACCAUUAUUAGACGCAGUGUCCAGACAGAAUCAGAAUUCAGACUUUGGAAAACAUUCUAGGAUUUUGUGCAUGCACUGUUGACAUUGUAACCUAAAUUUUGUAUAUUCUGGGGGCAGGGGGUGGUUUUGAACACUUUUUAAAAUUCUGGAUGUUAAUUUUGUACAGUUUACGGGCAUUUACAGCUAUUUUUAAUGUACUAGAAUUUGAUAAUUAUGUGCACAUGAAAUUAAUAGAAAUAAAGUUAUUUCCUGUUAGAUUACAGAAUUCCCUGAAAACUUGGCUUAAACAAGAAAGGUGAUUUAUAUCAGAGAAAUGAUACCGCAUCUUUAUAUUUUAAAAUAGGUAUUGCUGCUCGAGAAUGGUACCCUGUUGUCAAAAAAGGCAUACAUAGAUAAUUGUAAAUUCAAAAUUGUAAAUAGCCUGAUGAGAUCUUUGGAUUAAAGUUAUUCAAAAUUUAAAAAAAAACUGAAGUGAAUAAAAUAUAUUUUCUUUUUUUCUGUGA